rnacentral:lncRNA from 1 species
UGCGUGCGUGCAAGAUUAAACAAAAUUGCAUACAUCAGUGCAUAUGCAUGGAAAGUGUCAAGUAUUAUUUUUUUAGUUAUGUGGAAACUAUCCAAUAUUUGUUCUGUGAGUAUCACUUUUCUAGCUUUCUUCCGAAUAAUGUGCAUAUCACGUUUGGAAUUCAUCCACUGAAGCUUAGCUAAUUUAUUUGGUUCUUAGCUACAUGGAUUAACUCCUAAACUCAGAAACCAAUUUUUACUAGGAGCUGCCGCACGUGUUAGGAAAUAAUAAGGCUAAAUCUAACACUGUCAUACAGGUAAUUUUCAUCGAGAUGUUUUAGAUCCAACAGUAGUCGAUGCUGCAUGGAGGCGAUGAUCGGCCAAUGUUCAAGAAGAGGGGCAGCAGCUGAGAGACUAUGCUUUUGGCCAUCUUUGCGACGACGUUUGGAUGGAAGUUCACGAAUCAGAUUGAGAUUUAGUUCUUUAUUCUUGUGUGUGGCCGAACCAUGUUUUGUAAUUGAACUAUCACCUGUGUAUCUUGUGUAAUUGUGGUAGAGGCUGCAACUUUGUUCCCUUAUCUAAGAGUAUCUUCAAUAACUUGGUAAAAAUCACUUGCUAUAAAUCAUUAGUUUUAGCAAGUCGCUAUUUUAUAUGGCAAGUCAAAAAAGAUCUCUCUCCAACAAUUUAUAGUAUUCUAACUUGGUAAAAUCACCAUAAGCGUGGUUUUUUUCCUGUGGCUAUUUGCAAAGUAAACACAAAACUUUCUCUUAAUCAAUCAAAUCCA